GGAGAGAUGGCCGAGUGGUUGAAGGCGCACGCCUGGAACGCGUGUAUGCAGUUACUGUAUCGAGGGUUCGAAUCCCUCUCUCUCUG
rnacentral:tRNA from 1 species